rnacentral:rRNA from 1 species
AGAUUGAACGCUGGCGGCAGGCCUAACACAUGCAAGUCGAGCGGUAGAGAGGUGCUUGCAUCUCUUGAGAGCGGCGGACGGGUGAGUAAUGCCCAGGAAUCUGCCUAGUGGUGGGGGAUAACGUCCGGAAACGGACGCUAAUACCGCAUACGUCCUACGGGAGAAAGCGGGGGACCUUCGGGCCUCGCGCCAUUAGAUGAGCCUAGGUCGGAUUAGCUAGUUGGUGGGGUAAUGGCCUACCAAGGCGACGAUCCUUAGCUGGUCUGAGAGGAUGAUCAGCCACACUGGGACUGAGACACGGCCCAGACUCCUACGGGAGGCAGCAGUGGGGAAUAGUUGGACAAGUGGG